rnacentral:pre_miRNA from 1 species
CGCAAAUCCAGGCCAUCUUGGUUCGGACUCAGGAGGAAUGAUAUCCGUCAUACGAACCCCGGAUCACGGACGAGGGUUUCGUGAUGUCGUCAGGACGGAAGCUUCCCUAUUGGCGAGAUCGCGCCCCCUCCUCCGUGACCCGGACGUCGUAUGACGAGUCAUUCCUCCGGAACCCAAACCAAGAUGGCCUGGAUUUGCG